rnacentral:antisense_RNA from 1 species
UUCUAUGGCGGGCCGUGGUGGGGAGGCCUUCGGGCCUGCCGGUGCCAAGUUGCCGGUUCGCCAACCCUGCCACGUGCCUGCCACCCCC